GACAGAGGGGGCAAGCGUUGCUCGGAAUUACUGGGCGUAAAGGGCGCGUAGGCGGCUUGGCAAGUGGAUGGUGAAAUCCCUCGGCUUAACCGAGGAACUGCCAUCCAGACUGCUUUGCUUGAGGCCGGGAGAGGUGAGUGGAAUUCCCAGUGUAGCGGUGAAAUGCGUAGAUAUUGGGAGGAACACCAGUGGCGAAGGCGGCUCACUGGACUGGUACUGACGCUGAGGCGCGAAAGCGUGGGGAGCAAACGGG
rnacentral:rRNA from 1 species